AGCGAACGCUGGCGGCAGGCUUAACACAUGCAAGUCGAACGGGCUUCUUCGGAAGUCAGUGGCAGACGGGUGAGUAACACGUGGGAACGUGCCCUUCGGUUCGGCAUAACUCAGGGAAACUUGAGCUAAUACCGGAUACGCCCUUAUGGGGAAAGGUUUACUGCCGAAGGAUCGGCCCGCGUCUGAUUAGCUUGUUGGUGGGGUAACGGCCUACCAAGGCGACGAUCAGUAGCUGGUCUGAGAGGAUGAUCAGCCACACUGGGACUGAGACACGGCCCCGACUCCUACGGGAGGCAGCAGUGGGGAAUAUUGGACAAUGGGCGCAAGCCUGAUCCAGCCAUGCCGCGUGAGUGAUGAAGGCCUUAGGGUUGUAAAGCUCUUUUGUCCGGGACGAUAAUGACGGUACCGGAAGAAGAAGCCCCGGCUAACUUCGUG
rnacentral:rRNA from 1 species